GGAUACGGCCACACUGCGCAGAAAGCACCGCUUCCCAUCCGAACAGCGAAGUUAAGCUGCGCCAGGCGGUGUUAGUACUGGGGUGGGCGACCACCCGGGAAUCCAUCGUGCCGUAUCCUUUU
rnacentral:rRNA from 2 species